rnacentral:rRNA from 1 species
AGUGAACGCUGGCGGUAGGCCUAACACAUGCAAGUCGAACGGCAGCACAGUAAGAGCUUGCUCUUACGGGUGGCGAGUGGCGAACGGGUGAGGAAUACAUCGGAAUCUACUUUUUCGUGGGGGAUAACGUAGGGAAACUUACGCUAAUACCGCAUACGACCUACGGGUGAAAGCAGGGGAUCUUCGGACCUUGCGCGAUUGAAUGAGCCGAUGUCGGAUUAGCUAGUUGGCGGGGUAAAGGCCCACCAAGGCGACGAUCCGUAGCUGGUCGGAGAGGAUGAUGAGGCACACGGGAACUGAGACACGGUCCAGACGCCUACGGGAGGCAGCAGUGGGGAAUAUUGGACAAUGGGCGCAAGCCUGAUCCAGCCAUACCGCGUGGGGGAAGAAGGCCUUCGGGUUGUAAAGCCCUUUUGUUGGGAAAGAAAAGCAGCAGGUUAAUACCCCGCUGUUCUGACGGUACCCAAAGAAUAAGCACCGGCUAACUUCGUG